rnacentral:rRNA from 1 species
UACGGAGGGUGCAAGCGUUAUCCGGAUUUAUUGGGUUUAAAGGGUCCGUAGGCGGACUUAUAAGUCAGUGGUGAAAGCCUGUCGCUUAACGAUAGAACUGCCAUUGAUACUGUAAGUCUUGAGUAUAUUUGAGGUAGCUGGAAUAAGUAGUGUAGCGGUGAAAUGCAUAGAUAUUACUUAGAACACCAAUUGCGAAGGCAGGUUACCAAGAUAUAACUGACGCUGAGGGACGAAAGCGUGGGGAGCGAACAGGAUUAGAUACCCUGGUAGUCCACGCCGUAAACGAUGCUAACUCGUUUUUGGGCUUUAGGGUUCAGAGACCAAGCGAAAGUGAUAAGUUAGCCACCUGGGGAGUACGCUCGCAAGAGUGAA